CAGCAGCAGCCGCGGUAAUACGGAGGGAGCUAGCGUUGUUCGGAAUUACUGGGCGUAAAGCGCGCGUAGGCGGUUACUCAAGUCAGAGGUGAAAGCCCGGGGCUCAACCCCGGAACUGCCUUUGAAACUAGGUGACUAGAAUCUUGGAGAGGUCAGUGGAAUUCCGAGUGUAGAGGUGAAAUUCGUAGAUAUUCGGAGGAACACCAGUGGCGAAGGCGGCUCACUGGUCCAUUACUGACGCUGAGGUGCGAAAGCGUGGGGAGCAAACAGGAUUAGAUACCCCUGUAGUCCCUGUCUCUUAUAC
rnacentral:rRNA from 1 species